rnacentral:rRNA from 1 species
GAUGAACGCUGGCGGCGUGCUUAACACAUGCAAGUCGAACGGAAAGGCCCAAGCUUGCUUGGGUACUCGAGUGGCGAACGGGUGAGUAACACGUGGGUGAUCUGCCCUGCACUUCGGGAUAAGCCUGGGAAACUGGGUCUAAUACCGGAUAGGACCACAUUUUGGAUGGUGUGGUGGGAAGUUUUUCGGUGUGGGAUGAGCUCGCGGCCUAUCAGCUUGUUGGUGGGGUAAUGGCCUACCAAGGCGUCGACGGGUAGCCGGCCUGAGAGGGUGUACGGCCACAUUGGGACUGAGAUACGGCCCAGACUCCUACGGGAGGCAGCAGUGGGGAAUAUUGCACAAUGGGCGCAAGCCUGAUGCAGCGACGCCGCGUGGGGGAUGACGGCCUUCGGGUUGUAAACUCCUUUCGCUAGGGACGAAGCGUUUUUGUGACGGUACCUGGAGAAGAAGCACCGGCUAACUACGUG